rnacentral:rRNA from 1 species
GGAUCCAGACUUUGAUUCUGGCUCAGGAUGAACGCUAGCUACAGGCUUAACACAUGCAAGUCGAGGGGCAGCGGUAUCGGAAGCUUGCUUUCGGUAGCCGGCGACCGGCGCACGGGUGAGUAACGCGUAUCGAACCUGCCUCAUACUCGGGAAUAGCCUUGCGAAAGUAAGAUUAAUGCCCGGUGUUUUCAGAGUCCCGCAUGAGGCUUUGAACAAAGAUUUAUCGGUAUGAGAUGGCGAUGCGUCCCAUUAGCUUGUUGGCGGGGUAACGGCCCACCAAGGCAUCGAUGGGUAGGGGUUCUGAGAGGAAGGUCCCCCACAUUGGAACUGAGACACGGUCCAAACUCCUACGGGAGGCAGCAGUGAGGAAUAUUGGUCAAUGGGCGGGAGCCUGAACCAGCCAAGUAGCGUGCAGGAAGACGGCCCUCCGGGUUGUAAACUGCUUUUAGUUGGGAAUAAAACGGGGCUCGUGAGCCCCCUUGCAUGUACCAUCAGAAAAAGGACCGGCUAAUUCCGUGCCAGCAGCCGCGGUAAUACGGAAGGUCCGGGCGUUAUCCGGAUUUAUUGGGUUUAAAGGGAGCGCAGGCGGACCUUUAAGUCAGCUGUGAAAUACGGCGGCUCAACCGUCGAACUGCAGUUGAUACUGGAGGUCUUGAGUGCACACAGGGAUGCUGGAAUUCAUGGUGUAGCGGUGAAAUGCUCAGAUACCAUGAAGAACUCCGAUCGCGAAGGCAGGCAUCCAGGGUGCAACUGACGCUGAGGCUCGAAAGUGCGGGUAUCAAACAGGAUUAGAUACCCUGGUAGUCCGCACAGUAAACGAUGAAUACUCGCGGUUUGCGAUACAGUGUAAGCCGCCAAGCGAAAGCGUUAAGUAUUCCACCUGGGGAGUACGCCGGCAACGGUGCAACUCAAAUGAAUUGACGG